UGUUGUGUGGCUUAGUUGGUUAAAGCACCGGACUAUCGAUACGGACCCGUAGGUUCGAAUUCCACCCAAACAA
rnacentral:tRNA from 1 species